CUGGUUUUGUGGUAAAUGAUAUCUGAUAAUUACUGUGUCUAUAGAUUUUUUUUUUUUAAUCUUUGGAAAUCUUUUUCCUCCUAUAAUUCCCAUUCAGUUUAUUGGGGGGGCAGUGGGGGAAGAGCAGAAGAAUCUGACAUAUUUUCUCUUGUCACUUUAAGUGACUAAGUUCUGUCAGGAAUUCCAUAUUUCAAGCCAAGGUAGCUGGCUGUUGCUCUUCCCUUCUUAAACACUUGUCUGUACAUGUGCAGUUCUUCCUAUUCCUCAAGGUCAACUUGAACACCUUCACUCAGCUAGCACCCUGAAUCCAUAGCACUUUCCUUAUAGCAUUUAUGGGGGAUACCUGAAUUAAAUACAUAAAGCCUCUCGAGUAUUGAGACUAAUGUCUAGCAGUUUAGACAAACGUAAUCUCCAAGACAUAGGUUGACCACUGAACAGAGUUGAAAUAAAUGCCAAUUAAAAAGGGAAGUUGGAUAAAGAUGUUUAGAUUGAGAAAAUACCUUUAUCUUGCUUUCCUCCCCAAGUUCAAAACGGUGACAGUAAAGAAAAUGAAAUCGAAUGGCGCUGCAAAACCAAAGUCAGUGUGUUCUGGGGGAAUUUCUGAGAUUUGGAAACAGGAUCUGAUAUAGAAGACCAGAGGAGAGCAUAGCUUUAUAGAAAUGGAGAACUACAGGGGAGCCCCAGACUGGUAGAGAAUCUCAGGCAGAUUCCUUGGGGAGGUGGCUGGAUAGUCUGGCCUGUUCCCACUUGGCCUAGGCAGCAGGCAGCAACAGCAGCUGUUCUCAGGCCAAAGCACUGAAUGUGGGCGUUGGGCCAGAGAAGACCACGAAACCAUAAAUAGCCACAGAUCCCCAAAGGGGUGGCGAGCCCUCAGGCACAGACAGCAAGCUACCAACCUCCCUCACGUAGGCUGUGUCCCAGCCUUCUCCACGGUCAGCAGAAGCAGGCUGCCUGGGACUGAACCAGAGUAGCCACAGGAAGGAACAAAGGCGAGUAGACAGUCAACUCCUAUGAAUUUGCGGAAAGACACUCUAAACAAAACAAGUCCUGUGCCCUUUGAUUGGAGGACGUGCAAUUCCAAAAACUACCUGGGGAUCUAAAAUAUGUUCCUCAGACAGUCCUUGGCAACCAGUGAGUGGGUCAUAAAAAUAAGCAGAUGAGUUAACCAGAAUGAAUUCAGACAGAGGAUGAAGGGAUGAGGUGGAGGGUGGGUUGGGGUCCUUUCCAGAACACAGUGCAGAGGUCAGUAGAGCAAGGUAGGAGGGAAAGAUCAAGACAUGGCAGAGAGAUUCUAAGUUUUCAUGUCUAUCUGUACAACUAUUAAGACGAGCAGAGAAAAAACAAGACAAGUAAUUGACUCAAGAGUAAUAAAACAACCUACGGGCUUUUUUAGGGAAUGGAGGUCAUCCAUUUAAAUGGGACAAUAAAGCAAACUUAGGUGACUAAGAACAGACAAAAUAGCAAUAACUCAAAUUGGCUCAUCGAUCCACAGGGAGAUGACUGGCUCAAUGAGAUGAAUUUUCUUCCUAAGCCAGCAUGUAAAUGCCAACAUUUUUUUUUAAAAAGAAGACAUUUAUGACUAGCUUAAUAAAUGAGUUCUCUUACCUGCUUCCAGAUACUUUUUGGCUGUUCACCAAAAUUUAAAUGUAUCCUU
ensembl:lncRNA